rnacentral:rRNA from 1 species
CACGCCGUAAACGAUGAGUGCUAGGUGUCGGGGGUUCACACCCUCGGUGCCGGAGUUAACGCAAUAAGCACUCCGCCUGGGGAGUACGGUCGCAAGACUGAAACUCAAAGGAAUUGACGGGGACCCGCACAAGCAGCGGAGCAUGUGGUUUAAUUCGAAGCAACGCGAAGAACCUUACCAGGACUUGACAUCCCUUUGACAAAACCUUAAUCGGUUUCUUCCCUUCGGGGACAAAGGAGACAGGUGG